AUUGAACGCUGGCGGCAUGCUUUACACAUGCAAGUCGAACGGCAGCACAGCAGAGGUAACUCUGUGGGUGGCGAGUGGCGAACGGGUGAGUAAUACAUCGGAACGUACCCUGUUGUGGGGGAUAACUACGCGAAAGCGUAGCUAAUACCGCAUACGCCCUGAGGGGGAAAGCGGGGGGACCCUAAAUAGAGCGCACUGGGGAGUGCGUUGUAUUUAGGGCCUCGCGCAAUAGGAGCGGCCGAUGUCGGAUUAGCUAGUUGGUGAGGUAAAGGCUUACCAAGGCGACGAUCCGUAGCUGGUCUGAGAGGAUGAUCAGCCACACUGGGACUGAGACACGGCCCAGACUCCUACGGGAGGCAGCAGUGGGGAAUUUUGGACAAUGGGGGCAACCCUGAUCCAGCCAUGCCGCGUGAGUGAAGAA
rnacentral:rRNA from 1 species